GACGAACGCUGGCGGCAUGCCUAAUACAUGCAAGUCGAGCGAACAGAUGGAGUGCUUGCACUUCUGACGUUAGCGGCGAACGGGUGAGUAACACGUAAGGAAUCUACCUAUAAGCGGGGGAUAACAUUCGGAAACGGGUGCUAAUACCGCAUAAUAUCUUCUUCCGCAUGGAAGAAGAUUGAAAGACGGCUCUGCUGUCACUUAUAGAUGACCUUGCGGUGCAUUAGUUAGUUGGUGGGGUAACGGCCUACCAAGACGAUGAUGCAUAGCCGACCUGAGAGGGUGAUCGGCCACAUUGGGACUGAGACACGGCCCAAACUCCUACGGGAGGCAGCAGUAGGGAAUCUUCCGCAAUGGGCGAAAGCCUGACGGAGCAAUGCCGCGUGAGUGAAGAAGGCCUUCGGGUCGUAAAACUCUGUUAUAAGAGAAGAACAAAUUGUAGAGUAACUGCUACAGUCUUGACGGUAUCUUAUCAGAAAGCCACGGCUAACUACGUGCCAGCCGCCGCGGUAA
rnacentral:rRNA from 1 species